GCAAGAAAAUCUUAGCAAAUUCUUACUUCGGACAGAAGAUUAUCUACGAUGGCAGACAAGAAGACACCUGCUAUCAUCUUGUCUUUUAUGUAUUCACCAAAAAAAACUCCUACAGAUAAAUUAUAGGCUACGUUUUCUUCCUUUCCCCCUCCCUUCCCUCUCCCUCUCUUUCUUCGCUCUUUCUGGAAGGAAAUGAGAAGAUCCCAUCAUUUUAUCCUCAUUUUCUCUGCUUUCAUUUUUGUUGUUGGCCUAUGAAAAGCUGAUCAAUCAAUAAUCAGCCACCUCCAGCCUCAACCUCUUGAGUCUUUUAAUCUCAGUUUAAUCCAGAAUGCAGGGAGCUGUUAUUACACAGUGAUUAUUACAACAAGCUGUUCCUCUCCAAGAUAUACUCGUGAUCAUAUUAGUAUUGCUUUCGGUUAUGCUUAUGGCAAUCAGAAGCGGACCAGAUGAUUGGAAGCCUGACACCGUGAAGAUUUCUGGUUAUUAUUCGAGGACUGUUACUUUUACCUACAAUACCUACAUCCCCAGAGAUGUUUGGUACGGAUUUAAUUUGUGCCACAAUGCCUCUUCUGCACUUCAGCGAGGAAUUCCGCAAUGGUUUUUGUACAUGAUCCUUGCGGUUCUUGCUAGUUUUAUAUUGCAAGUCUAAACGAAUACGAAGCAUCACAUUGUAGGUUGCUGGGACAAUUGCUAGCAACUUAUCGGUUCUUGCUAGUUUUUUUUUAUUGCAAGCCCAAACAAAUAACAAGCAGCAUAUUAGUGGCUGCUGGGACAAUUGCUAGUAAAUUAUCGUCAGUGGCAUGUGCAGAAGACUAGGGAAAAAUAUUAGUACUGGAAAUGUGGCGAACCAUUUCCAUAUUUCUAAUAUGGUGUGACGUUGUAACUAGCUACUAUCGUUCUGAGAGGAUUCAAGGAGCAAAGAACAAUAGCCUGUGUAGUUUGGACUGGUGAAAACUCAAGGAGAGAGAAAGAUAGGGGUUCAGAAAGUUCUGAAAGGUGUUGGUUAUUUUAUUUCUUACUUGAUUGAUGAAUGCUCAAUACGCCUUGGUUA